rnacentral:tRNA from 1 species
AUUUAAAUAGCUUAUAAGAGAGCAUAAUAUUGAAGAUAUUAAGGAAAUUUUAAAAAUUUUUAAAUA